AUUGAACGCUGGCGGCAGGCCUAACACAUGCAAGUCGAACGAGUGGCGGACGGGUGAGUAAUGUAUGGGAAACUGCCCGAUGGAGGGGGAUAACUACUGGAAACGGUAGCUAAUACCGCAUACCAUCGGAUGUGCCCAGAUGGGAUUAGCUAGUAGGUGGGGUAAAGGCCUACCAAGGCGACGAUCCCUAACUGGUCUGAGAGGAUGAUUGGCCACACUGGAACUGAGACAAGGUCCAGACUCCUACGGGAGGCAGCAGUGGGGAAUAUUGGACAAUGGGCGAAAGCCUGAUCGAGCCAAGGCGCGUGUGUGAAGAAGGUCUUUGGAUUGUAAAGCUCUUUAAGUUGGGAAGCGGUACCAACAGAAAAAGCACCGGCUAACUUCGUGCCAGCAGCCGCGGUAAUAC
rnacentral:rRNA from 1 species